rnacentral:rRNA from 1 species
GAAUGUAGCAAUACAUGGCGUACUGCUCAGUAACACGUGGACAACCUACCCUCCGGACGGGUAUAAACCCGGGAAACUGGGUAUAAUCCCCGAUAGAUCUCGGUCGCUGGAAUGCCCCGAGAUCGAAAGCUCCGGCGCCAGAGGAUGGGUCUGCGGCCUAUCAGGUAGUAGUGGGUGUAGCGUACCUACUAGCCUACGACGGGUACGGGUUGUGAGAGCAAGAGCCCGGAGAUGGAUUCUGAGACACGAAUCCAGGCCCUACGGGGUGCAGCAGGCGCGAAAACUUUACAAUGCCGGCAACGGCGAUAAGGGGACCUCGAGUGCCAGGUUACAAAUCUGGCUGUCGUGAUGCCUAAAAAGCAUUGCAUAGCAAGGGCCGGGCAAGACCGGUGCCAGCCGCCGCGGUAACACCGGCGGCUCGAGUGGUAACCGUUAUUAUUGGGUCUAAAGGGUCUGUAGCCGGCCGGAUAAGUCUCUUGAGAAAUCCAGCAGCUCAACUGUUGGGCUUUCAGGAGAUACUGUUCGGCUCGAGGCCGGGAGAGGUGAGAGGUACUUCAGGGGUAGGGGUGAAAUCUUGUAAUCCUUGGAGGACCACCAGUGGCGAAGGCGUCUCACCAGAACGGACCUGACGGCAAGGGGCGAAAGCUAGGGGCACGAACCGGAUUAGAUACCCGGGUAGUCCUAGCCGUAAACGAUACUCGCUAGGUGUCGGCCACGGUGCGACCGUUGUCGGUGCCGUAGGGAAGCCGUGAAGCGAGCCACCUGGGAAGUACGGCCGCAAGGCUGAAACUUAAAGGAAUUGGCGGGGGAGCACCACAACGGGUGGAGCGU